rnacentral:lncRNA from 1 species
GUUUAAGGUUGGUUGAUUAGAGAAUCUUUAUUUGAGUUCUUCUUGUUGACUAUUUUAACGCUUGAAUUGGAUUUAUCACCUAGUUCACGAUCUUAGGUUAACUGAAUUUAUGCAUCAGGAGUUGAUUUGAUUGCUUGAACAUAAUCUCUGUGAGCAAAGUGUCUUUAUCCAACAUGAGUUGAUGUUACUGCACUUUGUGAACCUAUUGAAACUCGAACUUAAUGUGUGUCUAAUCUCUUAGGUUCAACGAGAGUUAGUUUUCUAGAUUGUUUGACAUAGUGGCUGGAAUCAUGGGAGUGGGAAGAUUAUACAAAUGUGUUUUGAGUUAUAGAAUGAUGCUUAAUUAAUUUUCUGAUAAACUGUUAACAUUCAUGUCAUUUGCUAUAAUUUCUAUAAUACCUAACACUUUUUCUUAAUAUGUUUUAGCUUUUAUUAUAUAUUUUAUUUCUGCUUAGCUUUAGGAAAACAAAAAUCUCUCUUUUUGUCUUAGCUUAUUAACUAUAUUCUCACUGACUUGUUGUGGAACCUUGGUCUCUGUAGAUUUGAUUCCUUUUAUACUACUGUGAUUUGGUGCGCAAUUGUGGUAUUCAAAGGUUAAAAUUUUGAGCUAUCAAUAAUACAUUGGUAAUACAUCAAAAAAACACAACUACUGGCCAUUAUGUAUGAUAUUACCCAAAAUAUACUACCAAAAU